rnacentral:tRNA from 1 species
UCCCCUGUAGCUCAACUGGCAGAGCAUUCGGCUGUUAACUGAAGGGUUGAAGGUUCGAGUCCUUCCGGGGGAGC